GAACGCACAUUGCGCCCUUUGGUAUUCCGAAGGGCAUGCCUGUUCUAGCGUCAUUAUCACCCCUCAAGCCCCUGGCUUGGUGUUGGACGGUUUGGUGGAGGUCCCCUCGGGGGCUCCUGCCCCUCCCAAAGACAAUGACGGCGGCCUCGUUGGACCCCCGGUACACUGAGUUCUUCACGGGACACGUAUCGGACACAUGGGUUUACGGGACACGGUCUGCCUCCCCUCAGGGAGAAUCUUUCUAAGGUUGACCUCGGAUCAGGUAGGGAUACCCGCUGAACUUA
rnacentral:misc_RNA from 1 species